AGUGAACGCUGGCGGUAGGCCUAACACAUGCAAGUCGAACGGCAGCACAGUAAGAGCUUGCUCUUACGGGUGUCGAGUGUCGGACGGGUGACUAAUACACCGGAAUCCACUUUUUCGUGGGGGAUAAUGUCGGGAAACGUACGCUAAUACCGCAUACGACCUACGGGUGAAAGCAGGGGUUCUUCGAACCUUUCGCUAGUGAAAGAGCCUAUGUCGGAUUAGCUAGUUGGCGGGGUAAAGGCGCACCUAGGCCACGAUCCGUAGCUGAUCUGACAGGGUGUUCAGCCACACGGGAUCUGAGACGCAGUCCAGACUCCGACAGGAGGCAGCAGUGGGGAAUAUUGGACGAUGGGCGAAAGCCGGAUCCAGCAAUACCGGGGAGGUGAUGAACGCCUUCUGGUUGUAAAGCCCUUUUGUUGGGAAAGAAAAGCAGCACGUUAACACCCCGCUGUUCUGACGGUACCCAAAGAAUAAGCACCGGCUAACUUCGUG
rnacentral:rRNA from 1 species